rnacentral:rRNA from 1 species
AACGCGAAGAACCUUACCGAGACUUGACAUCGCAUGACAGAUGUGGAAACACAUAAUUCCUUCGGGACAUGUAGACAGGUGGCGCAUGGUUGUCGUCAGCUCGUGUCGUGAGAUGUUGGGUUAAGUCCCGCAACGAGCGCAACCCUUAUCUUUAGUAGCCAGCAUUUAGGAUGGGAACUCUAGAGAGACUGCCGGGGAUAACCCGGAGGAAGGUGGGGAUGGCGUCAAAUCAUCAUGCCCCUUAUGAUCAGGGCUACACACGUGCUACAAUGGCGUAAACAAAGGGAGGCGAAGCCGUGAGGUGAAGCAAAUCCCAAAAAUAACGUCUCAGUUCGGAUUGUAGUCUGCAACUCGACUACAUGAAGCUGGAAUCGCUAGUAAUCGCGAAUCAGCAUGUCGCGGUGAAUACGUUCCCGGGUCUUGUACACACCG